CUGGUUACCUGAGCCAGGUCUGGGGCCAGGCAGCAUGCAUUCUAGUCCUGCCUGGGACACUCACUGGCCUCAAGAUCUUGGGCAAAACAGCUGACUGCUUUGCACCUCAGUUUCCUCAUCUGUAAGGUCCAGGACUACCCACUUCCCUUGGAAUGGUGUUGCCAUCACUGUUCUGGCACCGGAGAAAGGAUUCUACAUCGUUAGGAGAAAAGAAAAAGGAGAAUUUGGGCUUGCACUGAGAGGAUUACCUUUGGUGGUCUGGAAGUGGUGGGGUUGCAGCAUUGAAGGCACCAUCUUGGAAGCAGAGACUAGACCCUCACCAAGCAAUUAACAUGCUGGUGCAUUGAUCUUGGACUUUCCAGCCUCCAGAACUACUUUUAAGGCAGAAUCUCAAUUCAUCUCUUCUAUGAAACUUUCAUGAUUCAAAGGGAAGUCCCUGCAUGGACACUGCCAGCUUCAUUGCACUUCUGCCUCUAUGCUUUUUCCUGAACCUUCUCCACCUCUGGAACGUACUUCAGGCUGCACAGGGAGCAUGGCUGGGAGGCCUCAGGAAACUGAC
rnacentral:lncRNA from 1 species